UACAGAGGGGGCUAGCGUUAUUCGGAAUUAUUGGGCGUAAAGGGCGCGUAGGCGGCCAUGCGUGUCUUCCGUGAAAUCCCUCGGCUUAACUGAGGACGUGCGGAAGAAACUGCAGGGCUUGAGUCCGGGAGAGGGGGGUGGAAUUCCCAGUGUAGCGGUGAAAUGCGUAGAUAUUGGGAGGAACACCGGUGGCGAAGGCGGCCCCCUGGACCGGUACUGACGCUGAGGCGCGAAAGCGUGGGUAGCAAACGGG
rnacentral:rRNA from 1 species